AAGGCCUUGCGAGUUGUCGCGGCGUCUUCGGACGCUGAGGAAAGUCCGGACAGGACAGGGCACCCUGCUGUGGAAAGCACAGGUGGGAGUAAUCUUAGGUAGACCGUAACAGAAAAUAACCGCCCGCAAGGGUAAGGGUGAAAACGCGGGGUAAGAGCCCACGAUCGGCGGUGGCGACAUCGUCGGGGUACGGAACCAGGGCCUGCAAAACCAAAUAUACUGGCAGAUGAGGGCUGCCCGCCCGAUGCCAGGGGGUAGGUCGCGAAGAUAAAUGACAACACAAAACAGAAACCGGCUUACGGCAAGACCUUCAGU
rnacentral:RNase_P_RNA from 1 species